GUGAGUUUGAUCCUGGCUCAGAACGAACGCUGGCGGCAGGCUUCAUACAUGCAAGUCGAACGGUUAAAGCUCCUUCGGGAGUGUAUAAAGUGGCGAACGGGUGAGUAACAGGUGGAUAAUCUGCCUCCUGGCGGGGGAUAACGGCUGGAAACGGCCGCUAAUACCGCAUGUCGUUGUGAUUUCUCCGGAUUUCACAAAAAAAGGCGCUUCGGCGUCACCAGGAGAUGAGUCCGCCCCCCAUUAGCUAGUUGGUGUGAGAAUAGCGCACCAAGGCUUCGAUGGGUAGCCGAGCUGAGAGGUUGAUCGGCCACACUGGAACUGAGACACGGUCCAGACACCUACGGGUGGCAGCAGUAGGGAAUAUUGCGCAAUGGGCGAAAGCCUGACGCAGCCAUGCCGCGUGAGUGAAGAAGGUAUACGUAUAGUAAAACUCUUUUCUUAGGGAAGAAACCCGCGAGGAGGUAAUGCCUCGCGAUUGACGGUACCUAAGGAA
rnacentral:rRNA from 1 species